rnacentral:rRNA from 1 species
UACGUAGGGUGCGAGCGUUGUCCGGAAUUAUUGGGCGUAAAGGGCUCGUAGGCGGUUUGUCGCGUCGGGAGUGAAAACACACAGCUUAACUGUGUGCUUGUUUCCGAUACGGGCAGACUAGAGGUAUGCAGGGGAGAACGGAAUUCCUGGUGUAGCGGUGAAAUGCGCAGAUAUCAGGAGGAACACCGGUGGCGAAGGCGGUUCUCUGGGCCGUAACUGACGCUGAGGAGCGAAAGCAUGGGGAGCGAACAGG